CACUGACAUUAGAGGAACCACACUGAGACCUAUAACUGAGAUAACUCAGAUCGGGACCUUGAGGACAGUUACCGGAAUCAGGAACUCGAGAUGGAACAGGAGAACCUCCUCGAUGAUGGACAACGAGUUUUCCAACAAAGAUUGAGCAUCACCGGAAUGGAGAAGAGCAGGCCUUCUCACUGGAAGAUGAGUGGAGUCCUGGGAAAUCACUCUUUACAUGUAUGAUUCAAUAUCUCUGAUUCAGAGUAUAGUGCUCAUGGUGUUAAGAACAGUAACAUUGACAGUGCAAUAUGGAAAAGAGAGAAAUGCCCCAUGUCUUUAUUAAUAUGAUUUGUUUGUCACUGUAAACAAUGUGAAUAUUCAUGAAAAACCCACCAUCCUCAAAUUGACAAAAUUAUACUGAAAAUAGCCAAAAG
rnacentral:lncRNA from 1 species